UCAAGAGAAUCCGGCAGCAAGCGUCCGUUGCUGCCCGCCGAUUCUUCCCGCUGUUCAUGAUUUGCGGAUACAACUGAUAGCUGGGUCCUGCGCAACGGAAGGUUAUGAACCCCGUCAGGUCCGGAAGGAAGCAGCGGCAGUAACCGACUCCGUGUGCCGCGGGGGUGCCCAGCUAUCAGUUGUAUCCGUUAAUUCCGCACUCCUCA
rnacentral:misc_RNA from 1 species